rnacentral:lncRNA from 1 species
UUCCUCUCAUUCUCCUCUCUUAUCUGCUUUGGGAGCAUUCUCAUCUGAUUUGUGAAGCUUUUUCUUGUAGAAAAGAUAGCAAGGAUUUUAGUGAGCAUUCUUUCAUUCUUUUUUAUUGCUUUCCUAGUUUCAAAGUCAAAUAUUGUUUGACUUUCAGUUUGACCAGUCUAUGGUCAACGCAAAGUUCGGUUGAACUUUGCAACGUGAUUGUAAUCACGAUGGUUAUAAUCCUUAACGAUUAUACCUAUUGAUUACCACGUUAACUAGGUGUAGUGACGAGUCAAAGUUUCGGUCAAAAUGCGUUUUAGCGCCAUUUUGCAACGUAACUACUAUUAGGUAUCAAAACACUUUGUUUUGAUACCAAAUCAGUAGGUUAAACAUGUUUUAACAUGUUUAGCUCGUCAGUUUUAGUUAGUGCUUGUUUAGAGUUGUAAGUCAAGUGGUCUAAACCACCGCUUAGACUUUCGAAGUCGACCCGUUUGGUCGAUCAUUAGGAUCCGAGCAAGCAUGGUUAGUGACCAUAGUUGCAUAGGGAAUAACCUUCCGAGGUUAUACCUUAUGGUCACCGAGUUUAAGUAGUUGUAUGAUAGGUAGAUUAUAUGCCUUAGGUAAAUUACCAAAAUGCCCUUUUCAUGCAUAAUUGGACCUUAAACAUAUGUAACCUAACUUUUGUCACCUAAACUGAUUAUGCAACCUAUUUAAACAUGUUUAGGCAUAUAAUACUUGUCAUAGGACUAGUUAGACAUCUCGAACGCGCGUUUGCACGCACGACGCGUUAAAGUAGCGUAAGCUACCUUGAUGGGUCACAAUGGGUCGAAAGCACUUAGGCUAGGUUUCAUUUUAGAAUGUAGGCUUUGUUAAACCAUAUCACAUGAGUUCCAACACUCAUUUGGUUUACAAAACCUCAUUCUGUCCGACCUUCCGAUUUAGGCGUCUAUUGUUUGACUAGCGAUUCGAUUAUUAGGUGCUGCUUGAGUUUCCUUGGUUUGAUUGAGCUUGUUGAGUUCUUUAGAUUGAGGAUACUUUGCACUUCAAUGUGAGUACAUAGUUCCCCUAUUUUACUGUUUUCAAUUGUUUUGGGGUGAUUCAUAUGUACAAAACGAAUUUCAAGGUUUAAACGAGGAUUUCAAAACCGAUUAAGAUGGUUUAUACAAAACUAAUAACGAUUUCAAUAAAGUGAACGAAACUUGUUAGUUGUAGUUACAUAAUGAAUGACAUUCAUUAGCAUUGAUCAAGCUGACCAGUAUUAGGUUAUGGUACCAUAUGAUCUGACUUAUGAGACUGCACCCAUGGUUAUGUGUGGGGGGUUAUGUAGGUAACGACCGAAUUUGUGAUUGUUAACUUACCCUUUAGUGGUUUGUUAAUACGAGAAACGAGGUAGACGAGUCACGAAGGUCUGAAUGUUAUUAGCGAGACGACCAAAAGUAGUUUCACUAUUAAAACGAAUACGAUUUUGGGACGAGUUAAACGAUUUGAGACGACUUAAACGAGAUAAACGAUUUGGUUAAACGAUUGGUUUUGGGUAGUGAUUAGAUAAUGGGACGGAUGUAGUAUGAUAGAAUCAUGGUAGAUACGCUGCUGGUACAUCUUAUAUAUAAGUGCUUCUAUCAUACUACAUUGUGUGUCAUUAUUUAGUUCACUUGGGAAACGAUUUGAAACGAUGUCACACAACGAGGUUUUUGAAACGAUAUAAACCAUACGAGUUUUAUUAACAAGUUUUUACGAGAUGUUUAUGAGUUGUUUACUAAAACAAAUGUUUUUGGGUUAAGAAUCAUGGCUACAAGAUUUUAUAUACUAUAACCAUCUUGAUUUUUGAGUUGGUUAAACUAUGUUGCAAUACACUUUUCAAAACGAGGUUUGCACUUUUGACUCUUGUAGUCUAACGAGGUGGUAUUGCUUGAUGUUGCUUGCUAGGAAGCUUGUGUCACAUAGGACCUAGACGAGGCCUUAGUGACUUAAAAACAGUUAUAAACAAUGUGUAUUAUGUUUGUUUUGGGUUUAAAGACAAUGUACAUUGAUGUGCGUGAAUUAAAUAUAUUUUUAAUU